rnacentral:rRNA from 1 species
AGUGAACGCUGGCGGUAGGCCUAACACAUGCCAGUCGAACGGCAGCACAGUAAGAGCUUGCUCUUACGGGUGGCGAGUGGCGGACGGGUGAGGAAUACAUCGGAAUCUACUUUUUCGUGGGGAAUAACGUAGGGAAACUUACGCUAAUACCGCAUACGACCUACGGGUGAAAGCAGGGGAUCUUCGGACCUUGCGCGAUUGAAUGAGCCGAUGUCGGAUUAGCUAGUUGGCGGGGUAAAGGCCCACCAAGGCGACGACCCGUAGCUGGUCUGAGAGGAUGAUCAGCCACACUGGAACUGAGACACGGUCCAGACUCCUACGGGAGGCAGCAGUGGGGAAUAUUGGACAAUGGGCGCAAGCCUGAUCCAGCCAUACCGCGUGGGUGAAGAAGGCCUUCGGGUUGUAAAGCCCUUUUGUUGGGAAAGAAAAGCAGCAGGUUAAUACCCCGCUGUUCUGACGGUACCCAAAGAAUAAGCACCGGCUAACUUCGUG